rnacentral:lncRNA from 1 species
UGCACUUGCUUGGUUUAUUGUAUCCCAUGAACAUGGAGGAUGAUGUUGUGCUGGUAGCCAUGGACAUGGAAGGCCAGGUGUGGAACACUAUCCCUGUGCCAUCUGGUGGUUUGAGUUUCGGUAGAAUUGGAUUGUCACAGGGGUGCCAGCACUAUGCUACCACACCGCUAGCUAAUGACGACAAGAAGAAUAAGAAGAGGAAGAAGAAAAAGGAGGACACAUCAACAGUCUGGUGCAUGAAGGAUUAUGAUAGUAAAGAAUGGGUCUUGAAGCAUAGUGUCGGCAACGAUGAGCUACGGAGCAUAACUGGUGUGGACUACAAAGUGGCUGCUUUUCAUCCAGACCGUGACACCAUUUUUCUGGAUUCAUAUGAUGUUGAUACAUUGGUAUCAUACGAUAUGCAACAUCGGAAAUUCCAUCAAAUCCAUAGUCUUCGGGAAAAUCGGGUAACAAUAUUUGUACCUAUGUUCCAUUGUUCUCAGAUUCAUUUGUAGCUGUAGAUAGAAAGUAGUGUUACCUACAAGUCAAGCUUGUGGUUCUUCUAAGAAUUCGCUCUUCUAUAGGCACUGAACUAUUUCUGUCUGUUGAUCUCUGAAUUUCCUCCUGCUAGCUUGAUUUUCUGUUUGGAAAAACAUGGUUACUAUUCUUGUCGCUGAAUUAUUGUGACACUCCAAAAAAUUUCUUUGUGGUUUUGUUUUCAGCAAAAAUCUUUCUUGGAUUUAGUUUCUCCUGAGAGGAAAAACCUUUUGGUUUUUGGGCUUUUAUUUGGUUUUGAUCCUUUCUAAAUUUUACCAUGUCUCCUAUGGUAAAAUUUUCUCAGAAACCAAUCAUUCCACUUUGGUUCAACCCAAACAUUCUGUCCAAACUAAUAAAAUCCAUUUUUGGAUUUUAUUCCAAUUAUUUCGCCUCCCAAAAUAAUUCUGUCUUUUCUUUUAAGCCUAGGUGAUUUGCAAAGCAAGUACCCUAAUGCUUUUGAGUUUUGACCUCAACUCAACACCCUUGGAUAGUCCUUUGUACCCACAACCCAGAACCAUCUUGAUCCACUCUUCUCCUGUCCAAAUAUUUCAAAAUUCACUCACUGCAAGUUUGGACCAGAUUUGCUAAAUUUGGUGAAAUUCAUAUCUACACCUCUCCAAAAAUUCUACAAAUAUUCAGCCAGCCUCUAGAUGCAAUGAGAGGCCCCUCCACAAAAAACCAGCUCAAGGAAAAAUCCCUACACACUAGAAUCAUUCUGUCGAACACCUUGCAUGCACUAGUACUGUUCACUUUCAGAAAAUUCAGAAGUUCAGUGUCGAUCUCCGUCAGUAACUUCAGUCACGAGUCCACAGUGCCCUUGGCACGUUGCUCGCGGCCUAUCCCUCUUGUCCGCAGCUUCAAACGAGCACUUGGCGCGUUCCUGGUGUCGGUGGCGCCCUGGCCCGCCUGCGCCGGCGUGUCUUGCAGCGGCCGUAUCACCGUAGCGGCCGACAGGGAGCAGAACGGCGGCAUAACGCCGUUCGGUGCCGCCCAAACCCCCUGGUAGCUCCGCGUGGCCGUUUCCUCGCCAGCGCAUGCAUGCAGCACCGUCGCGAUGGCGCGGCACGCGCAGAGCGCGCUCCCUGCCGCCGACGGGCCCGCGCCGCCCCGUUCCGUCGAGCUCCCCCUAAACAACCCAAUCCCGGCGCGGUUAGCAUCAAAAUGGAACUAGGGAACACGCACGACGACGCUCAACCUCUGAACCCUCCCGUGCAACCACUGCGCCGACGUAAUCACCUCGCCUCCACAUGACUCCACCAUCUCACCAGACCCCGCCCGGCCACUGAACGAGCCUCGAGGGGCCUUUCCUCCUUGACUCCGGCCACCUCCAUCCGCCUCGGGCUCCGGCAUCGUUCUCUCCGGUGAGAACCCCUCCGCCGCCCUACUUUCGACCGUAGCUCGUACCACCUCUACUAAGAUAACCCCCACCUCAAUUUUGACCUCGCAGCUCUCUCCGGCGAGAUCCACGACCACGCGAACCGCCGUCCGCCGGAGCAAGCGUCGCCGCCGACGUGGUACUCACCGGCGACCACCGCCACCUCCCACAGACGCGGAAUGGCGCACUAAUCACGAAGGUACACCCCGAUCACCUUACCUCGCUAUGGAUCGCCGCCGGCGACCACCGCACCUCUCGACGCCGUCGCGCUCUGUUUUCCCACGUUUGAAAAUUCAAACCUGACGCGUGGAGCCCGCCUGUCAGUCUCUCAGCCGUUUUUUUUAAUGAAACGUUAUCUGGACUUUUCCGCAGAACCCCCUGGAAGUUUUCUACUUCAUUACAUAUGAGUCCUUGGGUUAAAACCCUUAUAACUUUUUAACAGAAAGGAAGUUUUGAGUGGUUCUUUUUCUGUCCUCUUCAAAAUUUUCUCUAGUUUUUUAUCAUAUUUAUUUGAAAAAUAUUUGGAACACUUUUCUGUACACUCACGGUAUUUACGUUGCGUGCGUAUCCUUUCUUAUACCGUAUAUUCCGGAGGAAGCGACGGAGCUGCAAACUUCGCACAGCUAGACUCCGACUACUCCGAACCAGGCAAGUACGUUUGAACUCUUGAUAUGAUGAGUGUUGUUGCAUGUUUGCAUUGUAGCAUGGUCAUGGCAUGUUUAGGAACAUCACUUUAAAUAUUAUGUUCCAUGCACAUAAACGGAAAGUAAGUUUCGGAAAGCAUUAUGUUGUUGGAUACAUAUGUGCAUAGCCAUGUGUUGGCAUGAGGAUGGGUAAGAUGGCAGUGUUGUGACAUGCCAGGCUUAAGCCAGUCCUUUUGACAGCAGUGUCAACAUGAUCAAAUCAUAUUCCCUUCAUUUCCUUCCUGUGCUGCCACAUGUUUUCCGCAAGGGAUAUGACAUAGUAAGUUGCAACUGUUUUCCUGGUACACACCAAGUAGAGAGGCCGGGAUGAGGGUUCCAUGGACCUGGAUUAAAGCCCGUCAUCCGGUCAGGGGGCAUGGGUGUUUCCGGUUGGGACCGAGAGGGGGCACCCCUUAGAGCGCGCGUACAGAAAUUUGAUCCCAUGCUAUUCGUGGUUGUGGCCUCCCCGUCUCAAAGUUUUUCUUGGACGUUGUCCAGGGUGAUUCCUCGCAUCGUGAGGUGAAAUGGGUGUGUACUAGCAAAAUGUGUUUCUACUGAAAUACCGUAAACGUAACUAGUCCUUCGUGACUACGGAAAUCCGUUGGCUGUGGUCAGUUCAUCCAAACUCUGCAGAGUCUCAAAUCCUUGAAUUAUCUUGUACUUUGUUCAAGUACUAUAUUCAUCUUAUCUUGUCAGGUAUCAGCCUCAGUGACAAAACUCCGGUGGUAUUUAUGUGUGAUAAAUCCGGUUAAAAGAUUAUUCUUGUGGAUGGACUAAUCUUGUUAUUCACAUUCAUUACAAGCCCUAUCUGCGAUGUCGCUCAGACGUCCGACGGUGGCAUACCUGUUAUUUAUUUUUGUUAUAGGCCCUGUCUGUGAUGUCGCUCAGACGUCCGACGGCGGCAUAUCUGUUAUUUACAUUUGUUGCAAGUCCUGUCUGCGAUGUCGCUCAGACGUCCGACGGUGGCAUUUCUUUUACAGCCCUUUAUGUGAUGUCGCUCAGACGUCCGACUAUGGCAUUUCUUUUAUAGCCCUUUAUGUGAUGUCGCUCAAACAUCCGACUGUGGCAUUUCUUUUACAGCCCUUUAUGUGAUGUCGCUCAGACGUCCGACUGUGGCAAUUCUUUUGAAGCCCUGUCUGUGAUGUCGCUCAGACAUCCGACUGUGGUAUUUCUUUUAAAGCCCUUUAUGUGAUGUCGCCCAGACGUCCGACUGUGGCAUUUCUUUUAAGCCCUCUAUGUGAUGUCGCCCAGACGUCCGACUGUGGCAUUUCUUUUAAAAUCCCUUUAUGUGGUGUCGCUUAGACGCCCGACUGCGGCAUGCAUUUUAUUUAUUUACCUUUUGAGGCGUCGCUCGAGACACCCGAUCGGUUUUUUUAAUUAUUUAUUUUAUUUAUCAAGUCCGGCAAUUCUUACCAUUGUUAUAUGAGGAUCAUUCUUUAUUCACGACGCAUUCAUGCGUUCAUUGAUUAUAUCUUUUGUCCGAACUGUCUUGCGAGUACUUUCAAAGUACUCACCUGGUUUGUUGAUUUGGCCAGAUGUUGAUCAAGGCGAUCUCAUGGAUGAAGAGUUUGAUAGCGAGUCCGACGCCUAGAGGAGUCCCAGUCAGUCCCGUGCGAUCCUGUCUUGGUCAUUGUAUUAUCCGCUUCCGCAACCAGAAAUAAAUUCAUCGAGCCUCACCUCGACGCUUGAUGUGCUGCCAGUAGAAGUCAAGUUAUCCGCCACCACAUUUCCUCGAGCUAGUAGCAUAUCACCACACCCCUGUGUCAUAACCGCCCAUAUGUAAGAUAUUGGCGAGUUUGUAAUAAAUUGUUGAGCAGCCUCAGCUCAACCCUGUAAUAUAUUUGAUGCUACUAGUUCUCUGUUUAUCAACCGUUUUCUACCAGAAAGGAUGACUUUUCCUAUACUGGGAUUAAAAGAUCGGUUUUAUCAAUAAUCAUUUAUUGAAAAACCGGUCGUGACAGACUUGGUAACCAGAGCCAGGCUGACUGUAGGAAGCCACUAGGUGCGAUCGCUAAUUGGUUAUUAGCAUGAUAGAGUUAUUCAUGUUUAUACAAGUGUAGACAUUUUUCUGACAGUCAGCAUAAAAUUUUAUGAUCUGAUCACUCAGAAUUUUUGCCUACUUUUGUAGAUGACCGGCAACGACUACGAGUCUCAAAUGUUCGCCAACGUGCCUGAGGGGUUCGUCAAACUCCUCUCCUUCAUCGUUCAGGUCGCGAUGGGGCCAUCCGUGCGCCCAGUCUUCACGCUUUAUCCACACAAGAUCAACAACAGUCUGACUAUGCACCAGGCCGGGGUGCAGUUCAGGGGAGGCCAUGCUGAAAUACGCCGCCUCUGAUUCGUGGGGAGAGCCAUGCCUACAGAAAGGCAUGCUAUGCAGAUGGCUGCCCGCGAGACGAUAGCCCAUCUUCGGGAUGUUCUUCCUGCAAUGAAGACCCGUCGCUACCGCUACCUUCCAUGCCAUGUGCCUUACACCUGUCACUACUCCUUCUCUUGCCCCAGAGGAGAGUGAGACGAAGCCUUUGAGAUGCUUGUCGAGUACCUCCGAGCCCUGGAGGCAGCAUUCGACUGCAUGGUGGAUGACCUCGUAGCUGCACGCAUGGACUCAGUUCAUGGCUGUGCUGCUAACAGGAGGGAACUCCUACACACCGCUCCACCAUUGACUUUCGUGUCAUCCGCAGCCUCUCACUCAACUUCCAUACUCGCCACUGCUUGUCGUCUGCCUACCACAGAGGAAUUUAACCAGGCUAUUGCACCCACUCCCGCCUGCUCUGCACCACUUGUUGCACCCACUCCCAUACGUGCUACCCCACCUAUUCCACCCACUCAUAUUCGUGUUAUUCCGCCUACGGCACCUGCUCCAUCAGCUCAGCACAACGUUUCUCGUCUGGAACCUAUUAGCGAGGAGGAAGUUGAUUCCCCAGCAUCUCUGCGUCUCACCCUCGGCAGGCCAAGGGAGAUCCUCACCAUCUCCGACUAAGUACGCAUAGACGCCAUGCGAUGUAUCGACUUGUGUAAUAUGUUUUAUGUACAUAGGUUGUGAGAAGUAGCCUGUUUGUGCACCAUGUAGGAUCUGGAGGAGUGCACUAGUUUAAAUAACAUGUCAGGAUUAUGUACGCAUAUCCUGAGUGAUGUAAUGUGUAAUUAUGCCCGCGUGUAAGAUAUGCACUAGUCCUUCUCCGCGCGCAAUCUUGUGUUUCCAAAAAUAUCCUGGAGUUUAAGAAUGUUCUUUAUGUGUGAUUUUAUUGACUUUUGCGACUCUCUUUCUUGUCUUACGAGUUCACAAAAUAUAUCCCCAGAGUGAAAGGUGUCUCGUCCUUGGACGCGCUCCAUGCCAACUCAGCCAGAAGAAAAUUAUGGCACACCGUAGAACCACAAUUUCACUCAGGGUCAGACAAGUCAACAGGACAGUGAAACAACUUUUACACAAGUUUGUCAUUUGUACGAACAGAGUCAACAACAACACAAGGAAAUGAUGAACCAAUUCAUCAAUAUGGGAAGUAAUCGUGGUCAGUAUCAACCGCAAUCCAAAUUAUCCGAGUUACAAAAGACGCGUCCUCCAACAUUUUCUCAUACUGACAAGCCUCUUGAGGCCGAGCACUGGCUUCGAGACAUGGAGAGAAAAUUAAUUAUCGCACAGUGUUCAGACCGUGAAAAAGUACUAUAUGCACCAUAUUAUCUCAGAGGUGUAGCUGCAUCAUGGUGGGAAAACUUCCUGCACAUGCACCCCAACAAAAAUGAAAUCACCUGGGAAAAUUUCAAAGAAGGUUUUCGUGGGGCACAUAUUCCUAAGAGAGUCAUGAAAAUCAAGAAGAAGGAAUUUGAUGAACUCAAGCAAAGAGCCAUGACAGUGUCAGAAUACAACAGCCAAUUCACACUGUUGUCUCGCUACGCCAAUGAAGAACGCAUGACCGAGACCAAGAAGAUGGAAAAAUUCUUGGAAGGCCUGGCACCUGCCCUUAAGUGCCAGCUAGUUGUGCAUACCUUUCCAGAUUUUAAAACACUGGUGGAUAAGGCCAUUACCCUGGAAAAUGAGCGACGUAGCCUGGAAGAUUUCCGCAAAUGGAAAAGGGACCAGACUACUUUUUCUCGCAAUCACAGAAGCAAGAAGGAAUUUCAGAAGGGGGAUUCACACAAAACCCCGGCGAAUAAUUCACGUCCAACCAAGAAUUUCCAUGCAAGAGACAAAGAGUUCACCUAUCGCCCAGGCGUUACCUGUUAUGCUUGUGAAGAAGAAGGGCACUAUGCCAAGCAGUGCCCCAAGCCAAGGAGCUCAACCCCGAAGCUCAAUAAUGAUGGAAAUAAUUCAGCACCAAAGCGAAGCAAUUUCAACCCCAACAACAACCACCGGAAAGGUCACUUGAACCACGUGACCUAAGAGGAAGCACAGAAUGCCCCAGAUAUCGUACUCGGUACGUACCCCGUCAACACAAUACCUGCCAUGGUUUUGUUUGAUUCUGGAGCUUCUCACUCAUUCGUUUCGAAAAGUUUUGCUUUGCAAAAUAAUUUUUCGAUGCUUCCCUUGGAAAAUCAAUGAUCAUCAAGUCCCCUGGAAUUAAGCAAGUGACUCAGAGUUACUGUCAAGGUGUGGUUAUUGAAUUUGAAGGAUUGAAGUUUUACGCCAACCUUAUCGUACUGGAAAGCAAAGGAAUGGAUGUCAUCCUAGGAAUGGAUUGGUUAACCACCAACAAAGGUUUUAUUGACUGCUUCAACCGUACUGUGAUUCUCACACACCAUCAUGGGAAGAAAAUAAAAGUUUCAGCCAAAGAGAGACAAAUACCUCGGCAACCUAGAUUAAACAAGGUGGACGUUUUUGAGCUGAACAAGGUUCCAGUAGUAUGUGAAUUCCCAAACGUAUUUCCAGAAGAACUACCAGGCAUGCCACCAGACCGAGAAAUAGAAUUCAGCAUUGAGCUAGCACCCGGAACCGCUCCUAUUUACAAGAAACCUUACAGAAUGGCACCAUCCGAAUUGGUAGAGCUGAAGAAGCAAAUAAAAGAAUUAUUGGAGAAAGGAUACAUACGAGCCAGCUCCUCACCUUGGGGUUCUCCAAUUUUAUUUGCCAAGAAGAAGGAUGGAACAAUGAGGUUGUGUAUUGAUUAUCGAGCUCUCAACAUGGUCACAAUAAAGAACAAAUACCCAAUGCCCCGAAUAAAUGAUUUAUUCGAUCAGCUCGCACAGGCCAAAGUCUUCUCAAAAAUUGACUUCAGAUCAGGGUACCACCAAUUAAAAGUACGAACUGAAGAUAUUCCCAAGACCGCAUUCACCUCCAGAUAUGGGUUGUAUGAGUUCACAGUAAUGCCAUUCGGACUAACCAACGCCCCCGCAUUUGUUCACCAUGAACAAGGUAUUUAUGAAGUAUAUGGACAAGUUUGUUGUGGUAUUCAUCGAUGAUAUUCAGAUAUAUUCCAAAACACCAGAAGAGCACGCCGAACAUCUCAGGAUUGUACUAGGAGAACUCAGGAAACAUCAAUUGUACGCCAAAUUCAGCAAAUGUGAAUUUUGGCUAAGGCAGGUGGGUUUUCUGGGCCACGUGCUAACCCAAGAAGGUAUUGCAGUAGACCCGGAAAAAGUCAAGGCCGUACUUGGCUGGAAACCACCAGCCAACGUAACGGACGUACGGAGUUUCUUGGGAAUGGCAGGAUAUUAUCAGAGAUUUAUUGAAGGAUUCUCCACUAUAGCAAAGCCCAUGACACAAUUGCUCAAGAAAGGCAAGAAGUUUGAAUGGACAGAAGCAUGUGAGAAAAGCUUCCAAGAGCUAAAAAGCAAAUUAACAACGGCACCAGUAUUAAUCGUGCCAGAUAUACACAAAAUUUUUGAGGUAUAUUGUGACGCAUCCCCGGAAGGCUUCGGAUGCGUAUUGAUGCAAGAAGGCAAGGUAGUUGCAUAUGUCUCUAGACAACUACGCAAGCAUGAGGAAAAUUAUCCCACUCAUGACUUGGAAUUAGCAGCGGUCAUUCAUGCACUCAAGUAAUGGAGACACUUCCUACUUGGGAAUCAUUGUGAGAUAUACACAGACCAUAAGAGUCUUAAGUAUAUUUUCACACAACCAGAGUUCAAUCUACGGCAACGACGCUGGCUAGAAUUGGUGAAGUAUUAUGAUGUUGGAAUCCACUAUCAUCCUGGAAAAGCAAAUGUUGUGGCAGAUGCCCUGAGUCGGAAUCCCAGCACAGACGAUGACAGUAUACCAAAGUGAGGCCAGAAUUUCAACAGGAAUUUGCCAGGCUCAAUUUAAUAAUGGUUACCGAAGGCAGUGUGGCAAAUUUGGAAAUACAGCCGACCCUGAUGGAAAAGAUCAAGGGAGCCCAGCACGGACACCCCAGUAUUGAUGACAUAAAAAGGAAAGUGAGUAUGGGCAAGGCCUCAGAAUUCAACGUAGAUGAGCAAGGAAUAUUAUGGUACAAGGAAAGAAUCUGCAUGCCAAAUAUCCAGGACAUCAAACAUCAAAUUCUGUCUGAGAGCCACACCGCUCCGUACUCAAUCCAUCCUGGGGGGACAAAGAUGUACAAAGACCUUCAGGAAA